AGACAAUCAAUUCUAUUUUAGAAGAUGAAAGAAAGCCCCAAUGAGUAACAUAGGUGGAAUCCUUGAAAGUAAACCAAGGCAAGGCCUCGAGGCAAAACAUUGUUCAAGAUGCUCAAGUAUUCAGUGAAUGUUUUUCACAAGAAGCACAGUAUCACACUUUGACACUAAUCUCCUAUUCAUAAUUAAUGAGUUCUUGAGAGAUCACAAUGGAAGAGGUGAUGAAGCUGUUGCAAUGGAAGAUGAUCGGUCGCACGAGCAGGAGAAAUAGAUAGAUGACCAGAAAGGGAGAGAGACACACACAAUUGGAUUGGACAAGCCAAGAGAUAGAGAGACGUACAUUGGAGGCGAAAGGAAGCCGGUGGAUAAUGCAUGCGUCGGACCGACCCAAGGGCUGCCGGAAUUGAGACAAAGUGACAAUCGAAAGGGAGAGAGAGGGAGAGACUAGUUUCAGCGUGAGCAAGAGUGAGAAAGAGGGGGCUAAAAUUUGAAAUAAUUGGCUCUUAGGUUGCUCUUCAUAUCGUGAUAUUUUGGAGUCAAUAAAAUGCGAGAUAUCACGAUAUCUUGAGGGUGGCUUUGAGGGUGGCAUUGAAGGUGGCCGAAUAGCAUUACCCCUUAGUUGAUUAACUAUUUAGUUACUCGAGUAAUGCUAUUCCAUCAUAUAUUUAUGUAAAACAAAUAUAUAUAGAUUAAUCCCUUGAAUGUUCAGAUUUUAUUUUAU